rnacentral:tRNA from 1 species
GGAGCGGUAGUUCAGUUGGUUAGAAUACCGGCCUGUCACGCCGGGGGUCGCGGGUUCGACCCCGUCCGCUCCGCCA